GCGAGUGAAGCGGCAAAAGCUCAAAUUUGAAAUCUGGCGCCUUCGGUGUCCGAGUUGUAAUUUGAAGAAGGUAACUUUGGAGUUGGCUCUUGUCUAUGUUCCUUGGAACAGGACGUCACAGAGGGUGAGAAUCCCGUGCGAUGAGAUGCCCAAUUCCAUGUAAAGUGCUUUCGAAGAGUCGAGUUGUUUGGGAAUGCAGCUCUAAGUGGGUGGUAAAUUCCAUCUAAAGCUAAAUAUUGGCGAGAGACCGAUAGCGAACAAGUACAGUGAUGGAAAGAUGAAAAGAACUUUGAAAAGAGAGUGAAAAAGUACGUGAAAUUGUUGAAAGGGAAGGGCUUGAGAUCAGACUUGGUAUUUUGCGUUCCUUUCCUUUUUGGUUGGGUUCCUCGCAGCUUACUGGGCCAGCAUCGGUUUGGAUGGUAGGAUAAUGACAUUGGAAUGUAUCUCUACUUCGGUGGAGUGUUAUAGCCUUUGUUGAUACUGCCUGUCUAGACCGAGGACUGCGUCUUUGACUAGGAUGCUGGCAUAAUGAUCUUAAGCCACCC
rnacentral:rRNA from 5 species